rnacentral:misc_RNA from 1 species
AAAUGCGAUAAGUAAUGUGAAUUGCAGAAUUCAGUGAAUCAUCGAAUCUUUGAACGCACAUUGCGCCCGCCAGUAUUCUGGCGGGCAUGCCUGUUCGAGCGUCAUUUCAACCAUCAAGCCCCCGGCUUGUGUUGGGGACCUGCGGCUGCCCGCAGGCCCUGAAAAACAGUGGCGGGCUCGCUGUCACACCGAGCGUAGUAGCAUACAUUCUCGCUCAGGGCGUGCUGCGAGUUCCGGCCGUUAAACGACCUUCAUAACCCAAGGUUGACCUCGGAUCAGGUAGGAAGACCCGCUGAACUUAAGC